GUAGACUUACAAACUAAACUAUUAAGGAAAAAUUACAGUCCAUUUACAGUACAGUAAAUGUACAGCCCUGAAGGAUCUAAAUCUAAAACUUAGAGUUGUAUGUAGUUUUACCGUUUCAGUGCUGAUAUUAAUGUAACAGCUGCUCCUCCAAAUGCUGCUGCUAAAGCAGCUACUCCAGCUACUCUUCCUGAUGAGGCACUUUUCCCUGCAGCUGCUGCAGAUCUGGCUGCUGCUGCUGCUGCUACUGCUGCCAGACCUGUAACUAUUCCUUUUGCUGUCCCUGCUGCACUUUCUACAGCUGCUACUGCUGUGUUUGUAACUGCUUCUCCUGCUGUUUCUACUACUUUUUCUACAGUUUCUGUAGCUUUUUUUGCUAACUUUUUCUCCGGCUAGUUUUUACAGUUUUUUCUACCUAUUUCUAUUGCUUUUUUUGUAACUGUUUCUCCUGCAGUUUUUACUGUUUUUUCUACAGUUGCUGCAACUUCUUUUGUACCUGCUUCUGCUGCUUUUUCUAAAGUUGUUGCUUGCUUUUUUCAUAACUGCUUCUCCUGCUGUUUCUACUGUCUUUUCUAUAGCAGAUAAAACCCUUUCUACAGAUUCUACUCCUACUUCUUUUGAAGUCAUUAUUGCACUUUCUGCAGCUUCUUCUGCUGCUUUUUCUACAGCUGCUACUGCUUUUUUUGUAACUGUUUCUCCUGUAGUUUCUACUGCUUUUUCUAUAGCAGCUAAAACUUUAUCUAUAGCUUUUAUUGCUGCUUCUUCUGUAGUUACUAUUGCACUUCCUGCAGCUGCUCUGCCAGCAAUUAUCAUGCCUGCUAUUGUCACUGUUCCUAGAAAUCCAAUCCCUAGCACUGCAACUGCACAUGCAGUCUUUGCCCAUUUUCCUUCCUUCUUCCUCUGAGUGGUUUUAAACAUAUCAAAACUGUAAUGCAUCAUUUCAUUUUUCUUCAUCAUAGAGUUGAUCUUCUUCAGCAGUUCUGUGACCUGAUCUUGAUUGUUUUUGUCCUCAUUGUUGAAUGAGUGAUAUCUGCCACCACAGCUGUCAACAAUUUUCAGUAAAUAUUUGCUUUUCUCAAUGUACUCGUCCAGAGGUGUUCCCUUCAGCAGAUCAGCGUGAGGUAACUGAUCAGGGUGCAUUUCCAAGCACUGUUCGCUAACUAUGGUCAUUAAUUUCACUGAACUACAUUUGUAAUUACGCAACUUGUGACCAUAGUUGCUUAGUGGCAUACUCAUCUCUGUUUAGUAAGCCAUUUGCGAAUCACUGUAACAAAUGGGGAAAAAAUAUAUAUUUUUUCAAGUUUAUUUGAAAUAACUUUAUGAACGUAUGGUAAACUUCUCAGUCCCAAAGUUCAUGUGCAUUUAACCUUGACUUAUUUUCUUAGUUCAACCAAAUAAAUAAUUAUUUUAUUUUGAUAGUUCUUCUAUUUCAAUUGUAAAUAAUUAUUUUAUUUAUCAAAUGUUUCAGUCAUGUUCCAGUUAACAACUUACUGCAAAAAUAAGUGAUCUGAUGUCAGCCAUUGAAACAUCAAUUGCAAAUAAAAGACAUUAAAUCUCAGAAGAUCUCAGCAGAGAAUGAUUAAACAACUCCACAAACAGCAUCAGCAGCUUCACUCAUUAUUAACCAGACUGACUUUAUUUCCGUCAUAAAUUGUUUCUCAGGUUUAGCUCUGGUUAAUGCUGAUUUUCCCAUUAUAGAGAGAAGUGUUUGCUCAUCUGACUUUGGAUUUCUUUACCACAACAUAUGUGUUUUCUAAGUGCACUGUUAGCAGCCAGAGAAAAAGUCAAGCAUCAAGAGCCAAACUAAAGCAAAUGCUAUUCAUCAAAAUAGUGACUUCAAACAAAACUAUUAUUUUCAUUUAAUAAAGGUGGAGUUGGAGCUCCAAAAAAGGUAGGGGGGAAAAAUUACAGUCCAUUUACAGUACAGUAAAUGUACAGCCCUGAAGGAUCUAAAUCUAAAACUUAGAGUUGUAUGUAGUUUUGCAAAGCUUCUUCUCCAAAGUUCUCCUGAAUCCAUUUCACCGUGUCUCUCUCCUCUUUUGUGAAUCUCACACCCAGCUUUAGCACCAGUAGAAACACAUGAUAAUAAAAUUUAACAAUAAAAAUUAAAUUUAACUUCAAAUUUAAAAAUGAAUAGAAAA
rnacentral:lncRNA from 1 species